rnacentral:rRNA from 1 species
CUAGAGAUACUGGCCAAGGUUAACUUGGAGGAAGUGGGGAUGACGUCAAGUCCUCAUGGCCUUAUGUCCAGGGCUACACACGUGCUACAAUGGACGGUACAGAGGGUAGCGAUAUCGCGAGAUGGAGCCAAUCCCAAAAAGCCGUUCCCAGUUCGGAUUGGAGUCUGCAACUCGACUCCAUGAAGUUGGAAUCGCUAGUAAUCGCGGAUCAGCAUGCCGCGGUGAAUACGUUCCCGGGCCUU